GGAUGUGAGGGCNGUCUGGGUGUGCUGUCAGUUACCCUCUGGUCACCAGGGUUGACUGGGCUGAUGUGGCUGGUGUGGUGGGAGCUCCCUCCUCCCUCCAUAAGCAUCCAUCUACAGCUGCAUGUUAGGUGGAAUGACCUUCCUGNUAGAGGAGGGCCGCUGCUUGGUCAAGGGCUUACAAGGAACUAAAAUCUCCAAACAAGCCCUCAGGAUUGCAUUAUGAGUGAGAAAAGACAAAGGACUCAAAGAGCUCAUUACUAUAUCCUCAGAAAAACACUGAUGCCUGU
rnacentral:snRNA from 1 species